CCUUGCCCUUCUUCAGCUCACGCACGGUUCACUGCACCCACUGUCCUGCACCCACUGUCUGAGAUGUGAAGGUCAGCCUUGAGACUGACCACAGGGCCGAGGCCCAGCUGGGGAAAACACCAGGCCACCACACCUAAUGGCCAGGCCAACUGCCUGUUGUUGCACUGUUACAGUUCUUCUCCUAGGUGCCCAGCCCUGGGCAGGAGGUGGGGGAGGCAGAGGCA
rnacentral:lncRNA from 10 species